GUUUCGCUGCAUUCCGGUAACUGUAUACGCGAACUUGCCUCGAGCAAAAUGUCCAAGAUUUAACAUCUCCAUGCUGCAUCCUGUAAUGAAAUCUGGUAAGAUGCGAGAAAUUCUUGAAGUUGGUGUGGGGGCGGCAUUCGAAUACAGAGUAACUAUCAGUUUUCAGAAUCGAUGCUUUUAUCGGGAAAAAACAUCGCUGGGAAAAUAAAACAUCGCUGGGAAAAAACAUCGCUGGGAAAAGUUCAUUCAUUAACUGUGCAGAUCAUCGUCGGUACAAAUAAAUUGCAUCCUGGCUCAGCUAAUUAUCAUUGAACCUGGUUGUCGAAUAUGAACCUCGAGCUCAUGACAAACCACACGAACUAUGUAAGUACUAUUCGGAAUAGUAUUGUAUUCUGCAACAGCAGCCAAACGAUCGAGAUUGCAUCACCGCCUACCUUCCCCUGCCGUGAGGGACGCACAAGAAAUCAGGAGUUUCCAUUACCGAGUUUCCAUUACUCUCGACCCGGCAAAUGCGGAUCCAUAUGACCUGUCAUUACCCGGUACCGAUAAUUAUUUUAACCGUCGGGGUGGCAAAG